rnacentral:rRNA from 1 species
AGGGCGUACGGCGAAUGCCUUGCCACUCGAAACUGAAGAAGGACGCGCCAAACUGCGAAAAGCUCCGUGAAGCUGUAAGGAAGCGAAGAAGCGGAGGUGUCCGAAUGGGGGAACCCGGCAGCAGACAUGAGCUGUCAUCUGCAGGUGAAUACAUGGCCUGCAAGAGAGGUACCCGGCGAACUGAAACAUCUAAGUAGCCGGAGGAAAAGAAAACAACAGUGAUUCCCUGAGUAGCGGCGAGCGAAAGGGGAGAAGCCCAAACCGGUUGAAGGACCGGGGUUGAAGGACCAUGACAUGGCAAGAACGAGGAUAGGAGAACGGGAUCGAAAGCCCGGCCGAAGAAGGUGAAAGCCCUGUAACCGAAAUCCGAGUAAAGCCUAAUGGGAUCCUGAGUACGGCGAGACACGAGGAAUCUUGUCGGAAGCAGGCGGGACCAUCCGCCAAGGCUAAAUAUAAACGAGUGAGCGAUAGUGAACCAGUACCGUGAGGGAAAGGUGAAAAGAACCGCGGGAGCGGAGUGAAAGAGAACCUGAAACCGUAUGCCUACAAGAAGUCAGAGCCCGUUAAGGGGUGAUGGCGUGCCUUUUGUAGAAUGAACCGGCGAGUUGCGACAGACUGCGAGGUUAAGGAGGAAAGACCGGAGCCGAAGCGAAAGCGAGUCUUAAGAGGGCGAAAGUAGGAUGUUGCAGACCCGAAACCGGGUGAUCUAGCCAUGAGCAGGUUGAAGUUGAGGUGAAACUCAAUGGAGGACCGAACCGACUACCGUUGAAAAGUUAGCGGAUGACUUGUGGCUAGGGGAGAAAUUCCAAUCGAACCCGGAGAUAGCUGGUUCUCCCCGAAAUAGCUUUAGGGCUAGCGUCGGAAAGAACCUUAGUGAAGGUAGAGCACUGAAUGUGUGAUGGCCCCAUCCCGGGGUACUGAAUACAAUCAAACUGCGAAUGUCAUUAAGGAUGUCCGGCAGUCAGACUGUGAGUGAUAAGGUCCAUGGUCAAGAGGGAAACAGCCCAGACCGCCAGUUAAGGUCCCAAAAUACAGGCUAAGUGGAAAAGGAUGUGGGGAUGCCCAGACAACUAGGAGGUUGGCUCAGAAGCAGCCAUCCUUUAAAGAGUGCGUAACAGCUCACUAGUCGAGUGACCCUGCGCCGAAAAUGUACCGGGGCUAAGCCUGAUACCGAAACUGCGGAUUGUAGGAAACUAUAGUGGUAGGGGAGCGUUGUAUACGAGCAGAAGCCGUACCGUGAGGAGCGGUGGAUUGUAUAGAAGUGAGAAUGCCGGUGUGAGUAGCGAGAUGUAGGUGAGAAUCCUACACACCGAAAGCCCAAGGAUUCCAGGGGAAGGUUCGUCCGCCCUGGGUAAGUCGGGACCUAACGCGAGGCCGAAAGGCGUAGUGGAUGGAAAGCAGGCGAAAGAUUCCUGCACCCGUAUAUGGAGCGAAGGAGUGACGGAGACGGAUAGUGUGACCCUCUUAAUGGAUUGAGGGCGAAGCGAAGCGGCUGGUUACCAGGCAAAUCCGGUAACCAAAAGGCUAGAGCGUGACAGGUAAGCGAAAUCUUAGGAAAGUAGCGAAGCACAUGAUGACGGCUUCCAGGAAAAGCUUCUGGCAAUGCAUAUGCGGCCCGUACCAAAACCGACACAGGUGGGCAGGGAGAGAAUCCCGAGGUGAGCGAGAGAACUGUUGCCAAGGAACUCGGCAAAAUGACUCCGUAAGUUAGCGAGAAGGAGUGCUUAAGCAAUUAAGCCGCAGUGAAGAGGCCCAAGCGACUGUUUAACUAAAACACAGCUCUCUGCGAAGUCGCAAGACGAAGUAUAGGGGGUGACACCUGCCCGGUGCUGGAAGGUUAAGAGGAUCUGUUAAGAGCGAUCUGAAGCAGUGAUCCGAAGCCCCAGUGAACGGCGGCCGUAACUAUAACGGUCCUAAGGUAGCGAAAUUCCUUGUCAGGUAAGUUCUGACCCGCACGAAAGGUGUAACGAUUUGGGCGCUGUCUCGGCAGCAGACUCGGUGAAAUCUUAGUACCUGUGAAAAUGCAGGUUACCCGCAACUAGACGGAAAGACCCCAUGGAGCUUUACUGCAGCCUGAUAUUGAAUUCUGGUCAUACAUGUACAGGAUAGGUGGGAGACAAAGAGACGUGCACGCCAGUGUACGAGGAGUCGACGUUGGGAUACCACUCUUGUGUGACCGGGGUUCUAACCUGGUAUCGAGAACAGGUACGGGGAGAGUGUCAGGUGGGCAGUUUGACUGGGGCGGUCGCCUCCCAAAGAGUAACGGAGGCGCCCAAAGGUACGCUCAGAUUGGAUGGAAACCAAUCGUCGAGUGCAAUUGCAGAAGCGUGCUUGACUGUGAGACAGACAAGUCGAACAGGGACGAAAGUCGGGAAUAGUGAUCCGGCGGUGCCGAAUGGAAGGGCCGUCGCUCAACGGAUAAAAGCUACCCUGGGGAUAACAGGCUGAUCUCGCCCAAGAGUUCACAUCGACGGCGAGGUUUGGCACCUCGAUGUCGGCUCAUCGCAUCCUGGAGCUGGAUUCGGUUCCAAGGGUUGGGCUGUCCGCCCAUUAAAGCGGUACGCGAGCUGGGUUCAGAACGUCGUGAGACAGUUCGGUCCCUAUCUGU